GUAUUUGAAGCUUCUACUCCUAAGCGCUGGUCUUGUAAACCAUAGAUAGGGUUUACCCCCAAAUAUC
rnacentral:tRNA from 1 species